UGGGGAAUCUUCCGCAAUGGACGAAAGUCUGACGGAGCAACGCCGCGUGAGUGAAGACGGCCUUCGGGUUGUAAAGCUCUGUUAUUCGGGAAGAACGAUUCGUUUGUGAACAAUGAACGGAAGUGACGGUACCGAAAGAGAAAGCCACGGCUAACUACGUGCCAGCAGCCGCGGUAAUACGUAGGUGGCAAGCGUUGUCCGGAAUUAUUGGGCGUAAAGAGCGCGUAGGCGGUAUGGUAAGUCUGUCGUAGAAGUGCGGGGCUUAACCCCGUGAGGGGACAGGGACUGUCAUACUGGAGUCUCGGAGAGGAAAGCGGAAUUCCUAGUGUAGCGGUGAAAUGCGUAGAGAUUAGGAAGAACACCGGUGGCGAAGGCGGCUUUCUGGACGAGCACUGACGCUGAGGCGCGAAAGCGUGGGGAGCGAACAGG
rnacentral:rRNA from 1 species